ensembl:Mt_tRNA mt-Tn mitochondrially encoded tRNA asparagine
UAGAUUGACGCCAGAAAUAGAGUGUUUAGUUGUUAACUAAAUUUUUGUAGAUUUAACUCCUGCCGAUCUAG